rnacentral:rRNA from 1 species
CCCUUAGAUGUCCUGGGCCGCACGCGCGCUACACUGAGUGUCUGAGAUACGAGUCUGCCUGGUCCGGCAAGGUCUAGGUAAUCGCUAAAAGACACAUCAUGCUUGGGAUAGAUUAUUGCAAAUAUUAAUCUUGAACGAGGAAUUCCUAGUAAGCGCAAGUCAACAGCUUGCGUUGAUUACGUCCCUGCCCUUUGUACACACCGCCCGUCGCUACGACUGAUUGGAUGUUUAAGCGAGGUUCUCGAACUGCUAGCGACUUAGCUUCGGUGAGGUCGCAGUGUGGGAAGUGAACCUAGCUUUGGUGUCUAGAGGAAGUAAAAGUCGUAACA